GUGGUCUCGUUGUCAACUGGACUUGGACACACAGCCCCAUGGCUUCAGUAGGAGCAUGUCCUAUUCCAACCCGUACUUAAAGGAGGGGUUAUGACUGGAGGAGGUAAGAAUCACCAGAGUUGUGUCCCCCCAACCUUCGCCUGGGGAACUAGGUGCAGGUCUUCGCUCUCAGUUUCCCAAAUCUGUCCCCUCCCCUCUGGGCAUAUUCCUCUGGGACUCACCCUGAGCAAGUGAUGGGCAGGGCCCAGGACCCCUUCUCAGGGACAUGGCACUAGAGAACAUCCUGUUCUUCUCCAAACUCAAUCCUGGCAAUCCUUGACUCCUUAAAAGCAAAAAAAAAACAAAACAAAACCCCCCAAACCCUCACUCUGAUUGAUUAUGAAUUCUCCCAAAUCUAUUAUUAAUGGAACCUUUCUAUACCUAGACUCUUUUAAGGCCUUGACUUCUGAUGCUCCAGAUCUAGGAUUUUGAAACUCAGAAAACAAUUCCUUCAAACUCUUGUGUUGGGAGAGCCCCACCCGCCAUGGAACUAGAUCAACGAUCCCCUCUUCUGUCUUUGGGGCAGGGAUUCUGAUGAGCAUCAUGCACUGAGCUCUGAAAACCCUGGUGUUACUGAGCUCCGCCUGUGGCAGACCUAAGGACAGGACUUUGGUGGAUUUCUCUCCUUGGCUGUCUCCCUGGGCCUGUACACCAUUCUUGUUCCCUGAGGUUUCUUCUUGAGCCAAGCCUCCUGCCCAGAGCGUUUGUCUCAAGGCUUGAUUUCUGGAAUGGAGUAGGAAUCCUGGCCAAGGCAAUUCCCUGGUCUGGAUUAGAUUCUAGACUAAAGAUUUGAUUUAUAAUAACUCAUUUAACCCUCAUCACAUCCUACAAGGUAGCUGCGAUUGUCCCCAUUUUAUGUGGAAGUAAAGGUUCAGAGAGGUAAAAUGACUUGGUCAGGGUCUCAGGGCCAGGAAGUGGUGGGGUUGGGUUGGAACCUGGGUCUGUUAAGUUCCAAGGCAGAGAUCAGAGUUAGCUCUCCUGCCUGGAAUCACAGUCCCCUUCAGACUGCCAUUGGUGCCACUGGGGUCCUUCUGGGGGCCUUGGAGGACCCCUCCACCACGAGCGAGCCCUGUCUUUGUUCCGCAUCUUUGGCCUGCACCAGGCCCCUGGGAACCAAGGUUCUAAAAUUGCCAAUUCAGGACCUUGGCCAGGGGCUCAGAUGCUCCCACCCUUCUGAAUUCU
rnacentral:lncRNA from 1 species